rnacentral:rRNA from 1 species
UACGGAGGGGGCGAGCGUUGUCCGAAGUUACUGGGCGUAAAGCGCGUGUAGGCGGGUUGCCAAGUCCGCUGUGAAAGCCCGAGGCUCAACCUCGGAGGGUCGGUGGAUACUGGCAAUCUUGAAGGUGCUAGGGGGAGAUGGAAUUACCGGUGUAGCGGUGAAAUGCGUAGAGAUCGGUAGGAACACCAGUGGCGAAGGCGGUCUCCUGGGGCAUUCCUGACGCUGAGGAACGAAAGCCAGGGGAGCGAAAGGG